rnacentral:rRNA from 1 species
CAAAUCGGCCUCAGAUUGGUAGGACUACCCGCUGAACUUAAGCAUAUCAAUAAGCGGAGGAAAAGAAACUAACAAGGAUUCCCCUAGUAACGGCGAGUGAAGAGGGAAGAGCCCAAGAUUGAAAGCUGGCGUCUUCGGCGUCCGCAUUGUAAUCUCAAGAAGUGUUUUCCGCUUCGGACCAUGCCUAAGUCCCUUGGAAAAGGGCAUCAUAGAGGGUGAUAAUCCCGUUCAUGGCAUGGAGCGCCCGAAGCUUUGUGAUACGCUUUCUAAGAGUCGAGUUGUUUGGGAAUGCAGCUCAAAAUGGGUGGUAAAUGCCAUCUAAGGCUAAAUAUUGGGGAGAGACCGAUAGCGAACAAGUACAGUGAUGGAAAGAUGAAAAGAACUUUGAAAAGAGAGUUAAACAGUACGUGAAAUUGCCAAAAGGGAAGGGUAGGAGGUCAGAGAUGCGUCUUGGAAUUCAGCCUUGCUUCUGCUUGGUGUUUUUUCCAUUUUGCAGGCCAACGUCGGUUUUGGGCACUGGAGAAGGGUGGAAGGAACGUGGCACCUCUCGGGGUGUGUUAUAGCCUUCUACUGGAUACAGCGACCGAGACCGAGGACAGCAGCGUACUCGCAAGAGCGGGCCUUCGGGCACCUUUACGCUUAGGGCGUUGGCAUAAUGGCCCUCUACCACCCGUCUUGAAACACGGACCA